CAGCCGCCGCGGUAAUACGGAGGGUGCAAGCGUUAAUCGGAAUUACUGGGCGUAAAGCGCACGCAGGCGGUUUGUUAAGUCAGAUGUGAAAUCCCCGGGCUCAACCUGGGAACUGCAUCUGAUACUGGCAAGCUUGAGUCUCGUAGAGGGGGGUAGAAUUCCAGGUGUAGCGGUGAAAUGCGUAGAGAUCUGGAGGAAUACCGGUGGCGAAGGCGGCCCCCUGGACGAAGACUGACGCUCAGGUGCGAAAGCGUGGGGAGCAAACAGGAUUAGAUACCCUGGUAGUCCACGCCGUAAACGAUGUCGACUUGGAGGUUGUGCCCUUGAG
rnacentral:rRNA from 1 species